GACGAACGCUGGCGGUGUGCUUAACACAUGCAAGUCGAACGGUAAGGCCCUUCGGGGUACACGAGUGGCGAACGGGUGAGUAACACGUGGGUGAUCUGCCCUGCACUUCGGGAUAAGCCUGGGAAACUGGGUCUAAUACCGGAUAGGACCCUGGGAUGCAUGUCCUGGGGUGGAAAGCUUUUGCGGUGUGGGAGGGGCCCGCGGCCUAUCAGCUUGUUGGUGGGGUGAUGGCCUACCAAGGCGACGACGGGUAGCCGGCCUGAGAGGGUGACCGGCCACACUGGGACUGAGAUACGGCCCAGACUCCUACGGGAGGCAGCAGUGGGGAAUAUUGCACAAUGGGCGCAAGCCUGAUGCAGCGACGCCGCGUGAGGGAUGACGGCCUUCGGGUUGUAAACCUCUUUCAGCACCGACGAAGCGCAAGUGACGGUAGGUGCAGAAGAAGGACCGGCCAACUACGUGCCAGCCGCCGCAGUAA
rnacentral:rRNA from 1 species